UGGGCAGGUAUUAAUUCGAGU
rnacentral:piRNA from 1 species